rnacentral:rRNA from 1 species
UACGUAGGCAGCAAGCGUUGUUCGGAAUUACUGGGCGUAAAGAGUGUGUAGGCGGUGCUCUAAGUUCGGUGUGAAAUCUCCCGGCUCAACUGGGAGGGUGCGCCGAAAACUGGAGUGCUGGAGCGCGGGAGAGGGAAAGCGGAAUUCCUGGUGUAGCGGUGAAAUGCGUAGAUAUCAGGAGGAACACCGGCGGUGUAGACGGCUUUCUGGACCGUAGCUGACGCUGAGACACGAAAGCGUGGGUAGCAAACAGG